GGGUCAGUAGGUUGGUCGCGCCACCGGUACGUACUGGUCUCACUGAUUCCUCCUUCCUGAAGAACCGUAAUGCCAUUAAUUUGGUGUUGCGGGGAAACAGGACUGUUACUUUGAAAAAAUUAGAGUGCUUAAAGCAAGCUAACGCUUGAAUACAUUAGCAUGGAAUAAUGAAAUAGGACGAUCGAUCCUAUUUUGUUGGUUUCUAGGAUUGACGUA
rnacentral:rRNA from 1 species